rnacentral:rRNA from 1 species
AAAUUGAACGCUGGCGGCAUGCCUUACACAUGCAAGUCGAACGGCAGCACGGGUGCUUGCACCUGGUGGCGAGUGGCGAACGGGUGAGUAAUACAUCGGAACAUGUCCUGUAGUGGGGGAUAGCCCGGCGAAAGCCGGAUUAAUACCGCAUACGAUCUACGGAUGAAAGCGGGGGACCUUCGGGCCUCGCGCUAUAGGGUUGGCCGAUGGCUGAUUAGCUAGUUGGUGGGGUAAAGGCCUACCAAGGCGACGAUCAGUAGCUGGUCUGAGAGGACGACCAGCCACACUGGGACUGAGACACGGCCCAGACUCCUACGGGAGGCAGCAGUGGGGAAUUUUGGACAAUGGGCGAAAGCCUGAUCCAGCAAUGCCGCGUGUGUGAAGAAGGCCUUCGGGUUGUAAAGCACUUUUGUCCGGAAAGAAAUCCUUGGCUCUAAUACAGUCGGGGGAUGACGGUACCGGAAGAAUAAGCACCGGCUAACUACGUGCCAGCAGCCGCGGUAAUACGUAGGGUGCGAGCGUUAAUCGGAAUUACUGGGCGUAAAGCGUGCGCAGGCGGUUUGCUAAGACCGAUGUGAAAUCCCCGGGCUCAACCUGGGAACUGCAUUGGUGACUGGCAGGCUAGAGUAUGGCAGAGGGGGGUAGAAUUCCACGUGUAGCAGUGAAAUGCGUAGAGAUGUGGAGGAAUACCGAUGGCGAAGGCAGCCCCCUGGGCCAAUACUGACGCUCAUGCACGAAAGCGUGGGGGAGCAAACAGGAUUAGAUACCCUGGUAGUCCACGCCCUAAACGAUGUCAACUAGUUGUUGGGGAUUCAUUUCCUUAGUAACGUAGCUAACGCGUGAAGUUGACCGCCUGGGGAGUACGGUCGCAAGAUUAAAACUCAAAGGAAUUGACGGGGACCCGCACAAGCGGUGGAUGAUGUGGAUUAAUUCGAUGCAACGCGAAAAACCUUACCUACCCUUGACAUGGUCGGAAUCCCGCUGAGAGGUGGGAGUGCUCGAAAGAGAACCGGCGCACAGGUGCUGCAUGGCUGUCGUCAGCUCGUGUCGUGAGAUGUUGGGUUAAGUCCCGCAACGAGCGCAACCCUUGUCCUUAGUUGCUACGCAAGAGCACUCUAAGGAGACUGCCGGUGACAAACCGGAGGAAGGUGGGGAUGACGUCAAGUCCUCAUGGCCCUUAUGGGUAGGGCUUCACACGUCAUACAAUGGUCGGAACAGAGGGUUGCCAACCCGCGAGGGGGAGCUAAUCCCAGAAAACCGAUCGUAGUCCGGAUUGCACUCUGCAACUCGAGUGCAUGAAGCUGGAAUCGCUAGUAAUCGCGGAUCAGCAUGCCGCGGUGAAUACGUUCCCGGGUCUUGUACUCACC